rnacentral:lncRNA from 1 species
UAGGGAGGAUGAACUGGUGGAGAGUGGUAAACUGGUUUUGGAGUGUAAGGAGGGUGAACUGGUGGUGGAGGGGAUGAGUAUUUGUAUGGCUUCUUUGGUGGUGGUGGAGAGUGGUAGUAGGGCUUAGGGCUGACGUGAUGCACUGGUGGAGGAGGAGAGGAAUAUUUGUAUGGCUUCUUUGGUGGUGGUGGGGAAUGGUAGUAAGGUUUAGGGCUUAACAUGCACUGGUGGUGGAGGAGAAGAAUAUUUGUAUGGUUUCUUUGGGGGUGGUGGAGAAUGGUAGUAAGGUUUAGGGUGGACAUAUGGUGGAGGAGGAGAAGAAUACUUGUAAGGUUUCUUUGGUGGUGGUGGUGGUGAACUGUAAUGGUAGGGAGGAGGAGGUGUAUAAACGGUGGGGGUGGAGAGUGGUAGUAGUAUGGUUUCUUAGGUGGUGAGUACACUGGUGGUGGUGGUGAAGAGUAAUGGUAAGGUGGUUUAACUGGAGGGUACACCCCCGGUGGUGGGGAAUGUGGAGGGUACACCUUAGGUGGUGGUGGAGAACUAUAAUGGUAAGGUGGUGAGACUGGUGGAUACACCUCAGGUGGUGGUGAAUGUGGAGGGUAUUUCUUAGGUGGUGGUGGGGAAGAGUAAUGGUAAGGUGGUUUAACUGGUGGGUACACCUUGGGUGGUGGUGAAUGUGGAGGGUACACCUUAGGAGGUGGUGGUGAAGAGUAAUGGUAAGGUGGUGAAACUGGAGGAUACACCUUAGGUGGUGGUGAAUGAGGAGGAUACUUCUUAGGUGGUGGUGGUGAAGAGUAAUGGUAAGGUGGUGAAACUGGAGGGUACACCUUAGGUGGUGGUGAAUGUGGAGGGUACACCUUAGGUGGUGGUGGUGAAGGGUAGUGGUAAGGUGGGGAAACUGGAGGGUAGACCUUAGAAGGUGGAGGAGGUGAAGAAUACAAGUAGCUGUUUGCUGAAAUUUGAGAUGUAUGGAGAGAGACACUAUUAUGGCUAAUAGAAGAGUCAAAGUGGCAGAGGCCAUUGGAGACCUCAUUUUUUUUUUUUUGUUCUCUUGUUGCCUUAACCUCACUAGAUAGUGGGAUUUUGAUAUGCUAUAAUGUAACCAAGUGAUGCCCUUUAUAUAGAUCUUUUAUUUACCUACUAGUACUAAUCAUGUUGGUUGGUAACUUUGUUUUCAACUUGUCAAAAUUUUGUUGCCAAUAAGGCGUUGCCGUAUCUUUUUUUAAUUAAAAGUCAAUAAUAUUCAAACACAAGUUUUCAUUAAACAAAAACUAACUUACUUUUCUGAAUAGGUUGAUUUAAUUGGAAAAAAGGGAGGAUAAUUUAUACAAAAAGAGAAGUUGUAUUCCCUAUAUUCGGUAUCAUAAAAAGAAGAGAAACAAUUAUUAAAGCAAAUUUUGGUUAUUUUAUUUUAAUCAAUUUUUUAAAAUUAUUAAAAUGGACAGUGUUUAAUUAAACCAUUUUUUACCUCAAUAUCCCAAGUGAGCUUUGGAGUGCGUAUUUGGAUUUGAUGUAGGCUGCAAGCUUUUAGCAGGAAAUAAAAUAUCUUGAAAUAUCUCAAAAUAAAACAAAAUGGACAGAAAUCCGUAAGUGUAGUUCAGUUGAUAGCUACCAGAGAUAAUGUUUAUAAGGGUUGGGGUUCAAAUCCCAAAUUCCCCACACUAGACUAUUGAAAAAAAAAAAAAAAAAAAAGACAGAAAAUAUAAAAUGUGUUAAAUUGAUGUAGAUUAUUGGAGGUGUUAAAAAAUCAUCAUUGUAUUCUAAUGCCUAAUUUAUCUUCUCCACAUAUCUUUUACUGUUCUUGAAAAAUGCAUGCAUAGAGACCUAACUUCGUGCUAUAUUCGUCUGUCCCUUGAAGACUUUUCAAAAAGACUCGUACACCAGGGCCCAUAUGCAUGGCAUAGCAGCCUCAAUUAUAGGACGAUAAUUUUACGUGAAAUUUUUAUUAUUACUUUAUACAAAUAUUUAUUUAUUUAUUAAAAUUUUACAUAUUUACUUUUUUAAAGUAUAGACAGAAAUUUUUUCAUUUAAGUAAAAUUAAUUUCGAUGUUAUUAAUUCAUUUCCUUUCAUCCUAUCAAAUUAAUGAAUACUAUCCUUGUUGGUAGGCAGAGUCUAGAAUAUUCUAGAUUAGUAUAUACACUUCUAGCUACCUAUCACAAAUUUUGCAUGCAUUUAAAUGAUUUAUCAUGGCAUCGUCUCAGGCUUGGUCCUUUUCAGAUAAAGACAAAAGUUAUGUCUCUGUUUACUUUUAAGCCAAAGUUUUUUUUUACUCUUGUGUAAAGUAAAGUAUAUGACUUUUGAUAUACGGAUAGGAUUCUGGGUUCAAUUGGAUAUAAUUUACCCCGAGGUAUAUAACUAUUUUCUUAUAUUGUUGUUGCUUUUCUAAAACUAUCAAUAAUGAAAGAGAAAUGAUAUUUGUACAACCAUUUUUUAUAAUUUUUAGAUAAAAAUUUCUCUUUCAUAUUCACAUUAUAUUCUUACCCUCUCUCUUCCUUUUUCUCUCUCCUUUGUUUUUAACCAAUGAAAAAAGAGAAAAAGAAGGUUGUCAAAAAGGUUGUACCAAAUGGUUGUUCAAAUAUCAUUGCUCUAAUGGAAAGGUCUUAAUAUCAUCUUUAUUUAGUCUCGUUUUGGAAAAGUGAUUUAAAAUCUGAUCCGAUCAUAACGAUUUUUACAUAAUAACAUAGAAACGCAUAAAAAAAAUAUUCGAUUUUUUAUGAUUUUUUUGUUUUUUGAUCGAUUUGCAGUUUUAUUUUGAAUCGGCUUGUAUUUGAACACCCCUACUUCUUACUCAUCCACACAAGGUAACUCGAAUCAAGGUUGAGAAGAAUAAUUAUUUGUUGAAUCUACCAUUUGUGGUGGACUAAUCUUUUAAAUUUCUCGUAAUAGUUCUUUUUACUUUCAUUCAGGUAUUCCUUAUCUGUUUCUGAUGUAACUUGAUUUUUCUCUUUGCUUCUCUCUAGUAUACUUUGUGUAGGGCAAGAAGUAAAGAGGUUUAGUUAUGGAAAUUCCAUAUUAGCUUUUUUAAAAUAAAAAAAAAUAGAACAAUUUGUUUCACCAUUUAAUUUUUAUAAUUAUAUUAUAAAUAGAGAGAUUAAAGUAAAGUUGACUAAAAAAUUCGAGUAGCUAAUAAGCUCGUACUUCCUCUAAUUCUUAUUAUACGAGAAAAUUUGUUUUUCAGAUUCAUUCACUAAAUAAUGUACCAUGUUUCUAAUAUAAAAUAAAUACAUCAUUUAUUGAAUCUAAAAAAUCAACUUUCUUUGAUAAUUGAGACCCAGGGUAGAACAUGGCAAGGGUUGAUUAUAGAAAAAUGCUAAAGAGUGUCUACACUUAAAAUGGUAAGAAAUUUUGAAAAUCUAUAUAACUAUUGCAUUAGAAAUAAAACUCUUUGACUUUUUAAUGAAUUUCUAAAUUAUAAAUUAUUAAAAAAUGUCAUAGAGACACUUGUUAGCGAUAUGAUCUGUUAUACUCUAUAGGUCGCGUCCUUUUUUUUUUUUUUGACAAGUGGGUCGCGUACCUAUUCUUAAUCAAUCAAAAAUAUGUUGGAUAACAUAUUUAAUUCACCGUUGAACAAGAAUAAUGUUUUUUUAUUUAUUGUAUCAAAGAAUAAUGUAUUUUAUUCACCGUACUAAUAUUAUAAAAAAAAAUAAAAAAAAUCGACCGUCGUUCUUUUAAUUUUUCUGUCCUAAAAAAAUACUCAGUUUAAACGAGCAAGCAUAUAUUUUCAAUAUCUAAUUUUUUUCUCAAUUUAUAUUCCACUCAUAUCAUAUCAUAUAAUAUACUUAUUUUUGGUCAAAAAAAAUAUAAUAUACUUAUUUAUAACAUUAAUCACAUCGUUGACUUAUUUCUUUCUCUUUCAAGAUACUGAGGAGAUUUUCUUUAUAAAAAAAAAAAAAAAAAAAUCCAUAUUGAGGAGAUGUAUGCAUAUGUACACAAAUCAUUAAAAGUGUAAUUGAGU